ACGAAGCGGUACUUGUAACGACGCCAUCGCUGCCACAGGCCCCGCAGCAGGCGGCCCGGCAUGGCCGUCCCGCGGCGCUGUAACGAGGACAGCGCCGGAGAGGGUUGAUUCAUCUUGUUUCUGAUAAAUUUGGUCCUGUGAGAAAUGGCUGCUGGCAGAAAAAUGAAGGAUAAAAGUGGAAAUGAGUACAUAACCACAGGAAAGCUGUUAGAGACAGAUGCCUGCAAAAAGCUGUCAUGUUGACCAUCCAAAUUGUCUUCUACGCCCAGCUGGAUGGCCUCAGCGAUUUCCACCUCAUCUGCAAUAGCCAUCAGACGACGACGCAUCCUGGCUUGGGUAGAGAAAACAAUGGAGGAAAAAGACGUAAUGAAAUGUGAAGCAAAUCAAAUCUAAGCACCUAAUUUUUGAGACCAGUUACAAAAGACAGCAUGUGAUGGAAGGAGGAAGACAAAGGCUGGGCUGAGAGAGCUCCAAAUGGGUGUAAUGGCAGAGGCACAAGGGUGAGUCCAUGCUUCCUUACCACCUGAGACCGGCUGGAUGUGAAGAGGUACGGGGGAGACUCUCUUUCUCCUUACUCCUGGAGAUUCAGAUUUCACUGUGCGGCCCGCCGGGGAGCUGCCAGGAGAAGGACUGCGGCGGCCCUUGGGAGCUGGUGAAGCGGUGCUUGCCUGGCUUUCUCCUGGAGACUCAGCUGCCAAGCUAGAGAAGAUUCACACUAUUCUUUUCUUCACACCCACGAACUUGGGAGAUCUACCAGGCCUAAUGUAAACUAGUUUCUGAGAACCACUGUUUACAGAGGGAGUUUAAGACCAAUAUGGUCCCAUUUCUCAUUUCUUCCGCUCCAAAAAAAACCCACGGAAGCUUCAAAAACUUUUAAUCCUGAGGCUUGUAUUCUUUUGAUAGUCACUGCUAAAAAUUCCAGUUUAUCCCCCACUUUGUUGUGUCCUUGAUACCUGAUGAAGAACCUUUAGAAACCUUUGAGAAAAAUGGGACAUAUGAGCAUCCUCUUCCUGAACUGUUGAUCACAGAUUAGUAAGCAAGGAAAAGGAUACUAAUACUUUAUAGUAUCGGGUAAAUGUCUAUUUCCUUUUAAGAAUUCCCCUUUGUGCUACACGACAAAUCUAGGGUUGUGUCUAAAUGACAACCAACGGAUAAGUAUAGGGGGCUUUUACAAUACGUUACAGAAGUAGACUGGAACUCCCUAUACCACUACUGGGGACAGCUUCCCACAAAGCACUGUCUCCUGUCCUCAGUCUAAGAGCACUAGUACAUAGUCCAUGGCACAAAGCAGGUAUUGGGGGGUGGGGGGAGGGAUGGCUGUUCCUUAACCAUUUUGCUUUUCAUCAAAAAGAUCCCAAAUCAGUGUUAUAUGGAGGCUCUGGUGUAUGCUUUUCUUUGGAACUUUCUCCAAUGGGUGUGUUAACGACAUUUUUACUAAGUCAAUUAUUUUUCAAAAAGCAUGGCAGUUCAGUUUGAGUAUUCUUUUAAGAGAUCAAAUGAGUAUGGCUAGUAAUUGGAAGACUGGACUGUUACUGUAUAUAUUCCUCUCUUUUAAGAAAAGUUGGUUUAGUUAAAAAUGUAACAAUUUGAGUGAAUACCAUCUAUGUUGAUAAAAAACCCUUGGGCUAUUUUCACUGUUCCCAGAUUAAUGGAGGAGAGUAUGAUAUAGCACCAAAUUAGAGCACAAAGCCCUCUUACAUCCUUUGCUAGGAGAAUGAUUUCUUUCAAAUGCCGCAGAACAGCUGAUACUAUUUCUAUAGUACUACUUCCUUCUAGCUGGUGGAAAGGCAUGUUAACUGGGAUGCUCAAAAUGAGGAAAAAUGACUUCCUAAUAAAUGUUGCUUUUCUUCUUUAUGCUUUUAAUGCUAGAAACCCACUCUGUUCAAUGAAUGUUGGCAUGUCUACUACAUGUAAGCUCUGGUCUAAGCAUCAGAUACACAAAGUGGGAUAAAGAAACAAAAGAUAAAUAAGACAGGACCUCUAUCCCUCCAGGUGCUUAGUCUAGCACUUCUCUAUGGUAAAGAAAAUAUGAGGCCAUCUCUGCAACAAUAGAAGUAUUUUAACAUACCAUAAAUAGUUGCAAGGAUGGAGUGGAUCUCCAUCCCUUAAAUUUAUCUAGGGGAAUCCUGGAAAGAUCCACAGAGAAGGUAACACCUGAAUAAUUUUAAAGGAAAGAGAAGGACUGGCAUGGAGUUGAUUAAGGCUGAAAGAUUUUCUAGACAAAAGAUCUAACUUUGGUGAAAAUAAUGUUCUAUAAAAUACUAAACAGUUUAUAACCCUACUGUUAGGAAAUAUUAGAUAAAAUGAAAUUAAAUGAGUUUAUUUAAAGACCUAUGUGCAUCUUAAUUUUCUAAGAGGGGUGAAAAAAGAAGAUACACAGCAUUCCUCACAUUGGCAGAGAAGCCCCUUUUAGCAGAACACCUUUGGUAGAGUAGUGGUUCUUGGUAUAUAUUGUGAGAAAUCUGUACUGAAUCAUCUAUAUAGUCCCUUUUGGCUCAAAUAAGUCAAUAUAUCUAAGAAGAAAAAUCUAGAGAAGAAACUAAAACUAGCUGUCUUACUAUCUUAAUGUAAGACUUCUCAAGCUAUCAUAAAAUUCAGCAUGUCUUUAGAGCAACUAAGGCUCUAAGAUUUCAAAAUAUGGGGAAAAAGAUUAUUUGACAGCCAGCUAGAGAGAUGGGUAAAAUCACCUGAUGUGAACCCAUCCUAAGAGAAGUGGGUGUCAGACAUGCAAACUUGGACUAAUCUAACGACUAGCAGAGGCCAGAGUUUGUCACUAAGAUUUGCCCCUGUCUACUCACUCUCUGCCAAGGACUUAGGUCUUGGGUAAACGUAAGACACCAGACAAAGGGGGAAAAAAAAACAAAAAACAAAAACAAAACCUGGACAAGCCA